rnacentral:rRNA from 1 species
UACAGGGGGUGCAAACGUUGCUCGGGAUUAUUGGGCGUAAAGCGCGCGUAGGCGGCUACUUAAGUCGGAUGUGAAAGCCCCUGGCUCAACUGGGGAAGUGCACCCGAAACUGAGUGGCUUGAGUACUAAAGAGGGUCGCGGAAUUCCCGGUGUAGAGGUGAAAUUCGUAGAUAUCGGGAGGAACACCGGUGGCGAAGGCGGCGACCUGGGUAGAUACUGACGCUGAGGCGCGAAAGCGUGGGGAGCAAACAGG